rnacentral:rRNA from 1 species
AUUGAACGCUGGCGGCAGGCCCAACACAUGCAAGUCGAGCGAGCGGCGGACGGGUGCGUAAUGUCUGGGAAACUGCCUGAAGGAGGGGGAUAACUACUGGAAACGGUAGCUAAUACCGCAUACCAUCAGAUGUGCCCAGAUGGGAUUAGGUAGUAGGUGGGGUAACGGCUCACCUAGGCGGCGAUCCCUAGCUGGUCUGAGAGGUUGACCAGCUGGACGUGAACUGAGACGCGGUCCAGACUCCUACGGAAAGCAGCAGUAGGAGAGAUUGCACGAUGUGCGCAAGCCUGAUGCGGCCAUGCCGCGUGUGUAAAGAAGGCCUUCGGGUUUUAAAGCACUUUCGGCGGGGAGGCGUUGCCCGCAGAAGAAGCACCAACUAAGUCCGUGCCAGCAGCCGCGGUAAUAC